rnacentral:rRNA from 1 species
CCUACGGGUGGCAGCAGUGGGGAAUAUUGCACAAUGGGGGAAACCCUGAUGCAGCGAUGCCGCGUGGGUGAAGAAGUAAUUCGUUGCGUAAAGCUCUGUCAGCAGGGAAGAAAAUGACAGUACCUGAGCAAGAAGCCCCGGCUAACUACGUGCCAGCAGCCGCGGUAAUACGUAGGGGGCAAGCGUUAUCCGGAUUUACUGGGUGUAAAGGGAGCGUAGGCGGCGCGGCAAGUCAGAAGUGAAAUGCCGCGGCUUAACUGCGGGAGUGCAUUGGAAACUGGCGAACUGGAGUGCCGGAGGGGUAAGCGGAAUUCCUAGUGUAGCGGUGAAAUGCGUAGAUAUUAGGAGGAACACCAGUGGCGAAGGCGGCUUACUGGACGGUAACUGACGUUGAGGCUCGAAAGCGUGGGGAGCAAACAGGAUUAGAUACCCGGGUAGUC